CUCAUAUCACGUGGGCUUUAUAUAGAACUGCGAUUUCCUUGUCGCUAGGCACUCAAUAUUUGUACACGGCCGGGAAACGAUCGAAUUGUCUAAUUGAUUGAGGACCGGUUGUGCGCAGAAGUUACAGUCAACGAACAUACAGAUAGACCAAUAGACCCUUGUAACAAAAAGAUCCCGAUAUAGCCUGCCAUUCCAGCUACUGUUUGUGGUGGGAUACAAAUUGUCAAUUCAUCAAUUCAUCAAUCGGUGAACAAGUCCCAUCAACUGAAAUAUGACAUCACCAUAGAAAAGUCCAGAAAUGCUCAAGUUUAAGAACAUUAAUGUAACGUGUUGACUACUGUGACAUUACAGAUCCAUGAAGUUGUUCAGGACACAGUUCUUCAGACCAGUAAAACCAGCAUUUUGUAAAAUGUCUAUUUGUUCAAAUUGCAAAAUGUUAUACAUGUUAUUAUUUGUAAGCACAUGAUUCCAUCAUUAAAAAAAUAAGCAGUGAUGUAUCAGACAAACUUGCACAUUGUGAAUAUUAUGUAUGAUGUUUAAUUAAACAGGGCCUAAAGAAACACUCACAGAGAAUUAGAAAGAAAUUGAAUAAUUACACGUGAUAUGCAAUUGUUAAUUGGAAAAUAUUAAUUAUAGAUUUUAAAGCUAUGGAUAACCGAGAGGAUACCGGUUCCGUAUAUAGAGAGGUACCUACAUGUUCUGUGACGUCAUCAAUGAUUAUGUCAAAUUAUUAUACUUCACGUGACUCUCCCAUGUUUAUUUUCUGCAUACUCGUCACUGCAUAACUUUUAUAUUCCAUGACGGUGGAACGCAAU